rnacentral:lncRNA from 1 species
UUUUUUUUCUGUGUUCAACUGCCCUUCCUCCCACGCAGGCGAAAUAAUCCGAGCUGUCUUUAUUAAGAUGCAUACGAAGUGUAUACAGUCUGUAUAGUAUCAUCUCUGUUAUAUUUGUCCUAUAAAAAGCAAAUUUGAAGAAGAAAAAGUAAACUUGCUGUGGAACCAUUUGGAGGAUUGCUUACAGUUACACUAAUAGCUGAGGACUGAACAGAUGCUGGUUUAUUUUGAACAGUGAUCCUCUCUACAUGGUCUGUACUGUUUACUAGAAUAAACAUUUCAGUUCAAUGAGAAAGAACUGACUGCUGCUUGAUUUGUUACAGGUGACAGUUUGAAUCACACAGCAGAGCUCAACUCCAAAAAGGAGGAGGAAAGACUUCGAGUUAAAUGCUGCAGUUAUUUGAUUUUACAUACGUUGUCUCUAAAAGCUGAUUUUUAAUUAAGUUUAUUGACAAAUUAUA